GCAAGUCGAACGAUGAAGCCUAGCUUGCUAGGAUGUCAGCUAAGUGGCGAACGGGUGAGUAAUGCAUAGCUAAUCUGCCCCUUAGAGUGGGAUAACAGUUGGAAACGACUGCUAAUACCACAUACUCCUAUAUAACAUAAGUUAUAUAGGGAAACGAAUUUUGCUAAGGGAUGAGGCUAUGUCCUAUCAGCUUGUUGGUGAGGUAAGAGCUCACCAAGGCUAUGACGGGUAGCUGGUUUGAGAGGAUGAUC
rnacentral:rRNA from 1 species